CCUACGGGUGGCAGCAGUAGGGAAUAUUGCUCAAUGGGGGAAACCCUGAAGCAGCAACGCCGCGUGGAGGAUGAAGGUUUUACGAUUGUAAACUCGUUUUUUUAGAGGAGAUUAUCACGGUAUGUAAAGAAUAAGCCCCGGCUAACUCCGUGCCAGAAGCCGCGGUACUACGGAGGGUGCAGGCGUUACUCGGAAUCACUGGGCGUAAUGCGUGCGUAGGCGGGGUAAUAAGUCAGAUGUGAAAUCCUGUAGCUUAACUACAGAACUGCAUCUGAAACUGUCACGCUGGAGUGUGGGGGAGGUAGGUGGAAUUCGUCGUGUAGGGGUGAAAUCCGUAGAGAUCAAGAAGAAUCCUCAUUGCGAAGGCGACCUGCUGCAACAUUACUGACGCUGAUGCACGAAAGCGUGGGGAGCAAACAGGAUUAGAUACCCCAGUAGUC
rnacentral:rRNA from 1 species